AUACGGUAGGGGGCGAGCGUUGUCCGGAUUUACUGGGCGUAAAGGGUGAGUAGGCGGUUGCAUAUGUCAGAUGUAAAAGGCACAGGCUCAACUUGUGUUAGCAUUUGAAACUGUGCGACUUGAGUGCAGGAGAGGUAAGUGGAAUUCCUAGUGUAGCGGUGAAAUGCGUAGAUAUUAGGAGGAACACCAGUGGCGAAGGCGACUUACUGGACUGUAACUGACGCUGAGUCACGAAAGCGUGGGUAGC
rnacentral:rRNA from 1 species